GGGUAUUAAUGUGGAGGGUACAUGGGAUAUGGUUUGUAUGAUGGGAAGUAAGGUGGGUAGGGUAUAAAAGGAGGAUAUUAGGGGUAGCUCAUAAACUCAAGGUUUUUAAAACUCUCCUGUUGUGGGUAUUAAUACCCAAACUAGUAAACCGGUUUUGUCUAUAGAGGAGACACGAACUCUGAUUCAUCUCUUCCUUCCUCAAAGCUGUUUUCUCUCAUCCUUUUCAUAUCGGAAGGCUCGGGGUUCUUAUGUUGUUGGGAGAAACCAUAAGAACUCCUUCUAGCAUGAAUAGACAUUCUAGGUGUCUGUGUAGUCUCCCUGCUAACUUUAAAGGACUUUCUAGGACCUCUUGAAGAUUCUUUCCUUCCGCCUUUGCUUGCUCUCUCCUUGACAAUAGGGUUGGCGAGUAGUGCUUUCAUACCCUUGGGUGGAGCACCGGUCAACCUAACGGACGGUCUUGAACCUCACAUUCUGAAAGCAAAUAAGAAGUGUUGAGCACAUAAAAGUUCAUGUGCAUUCACAUGAAGACACAAUACAUAAUCAAACAUAACAUGAAACCUAACAUACCUAUAACAUUCAUCACAUAAUAUACAAGGACUCAACCCUAUUGGACAUAUAUUUUCCUAAUUGUGCUAGUCGACAUACUUCCUUUGACCUCUCUUUUAUACUUUUACUAGCAUCUCGGUCCACUCAUCUAACCUAGAGCUCUGAUACUAACUUUGUAAUGAUCCAAUCUAAGGACCGUUAGUGGUGUUAGGAUCGUGUCAACUUAAGGCUGUUGGAACUUGUAGCACGCCUAAAACAUGAGAAACAUACAUACAUUUUUGCAUCUCAACAUCUGAACAUACAUCAAACCAUUACACUUUAGUCUUUUUAUCUAUACAUAAACAUAAUAAUGGUUUAUAAUUUGAAUCUUAAUAUACAUAAGAUCCAAAGUGUAAUGAUUCAACAUGCAUACUCUUAAAAGGGGUAACACAAUAUAUACAUAAUCAUACUUAAAUUAUUAUUACGUAAUUCUAAUUUUCUUUAAUCACCAGCACAGUAUUAUCCCUUCUUAAAUUAUAUGUCUAUUUACUCAUACAUCAUAUAUAAUGGAAGGGCUAAGAUUACCCUAUGUUGCUCUCUCUUCAAAGCACUCUUCUAGUCUUGUAAUCCUGCACUUGGGGGUUAGGGAAAUGGAUUAAACUUACACAAGCUCAGUAAGUAAAUUAACCAUUAUUAAUUGUAUCAUUCAUUCACACAUAUGCAAGUGUCAUUCACAUGGAUUUUCACAUUAUAAACAUUUCAUGUAAGAUGGACAUUAUUACUAAUUGUUA
rnacentral:misc_RNA from 1 species